ACGGAAGGCAGCAGUGGGGAAUAUUGGGCAAUGGGCGAAAGCCUGACCCAGCAACGCCGCGUGAAGGAAGAAGGUCUUCGGAUUGUAAACUUCUUUUAUAAGGGACGAAGAAAGUGACGGUACCUUAUGAAUAAGCCACGGCUAACUACGUGCCAGCAGCCGCGGUAAUACGUAGGUGGCAAGCGUUAUCCGGAUUUACUGGGUGUAAAGGGCGCGUAGGCGGGGAUGCAAGUCAGAUGUGAAAUCUAUGGGCUUAACUCAUAAACUGCAUUUGAAACUGUAGCCCUUGAGUAUCGGAGAGGCAAGCGGAAUUCCUAGUGUAGCGGUGAAAUGCGUAGAUAUUAGGAGGAACACCAGUGGCGAAGGCGGCUUGCUGGACGACAACUGACGCUGAGGCGCGAAAGCGUGGGGAGCAAACAGGAUUAGAUACCCUGGUA
rnacentral:rRNA from 1 species